rnacentral:lncRNA from 1 species
CGGCUCCUUUCCUUAUAUGUCUAACCCUGGCCUGGAGCACUGGAGGAUGAGGUCCGCUGACUGCAGCGUCCAUCCUGGUCCUCCCCAGGCACUGUGGCCUCCCUCACAGCAUGGCUGCCUUGGGUACUCGGACUUCACGUGGAAGGCCAGGGCUCCGAGAGCAAAUGCCCCAGCAAGACAGAAGCUCAGCCGCCUUUGAUGACCUAGAAGCUAGGCAGCAUCCAUUGUACUGCCUUCUAUGGGUUGUGAGUGAGUCCCAAACCUGCCUUGACUCAAGGAAACGGAAUUAGGCUCUACGUCUUGACUAGGUAGUGGCGAAGUUCUGGAAGCACAUGAGUAGGAGAUACUGUGACGGUUUCAUCUUUGGAAAAUACCAUCUAGCACACCUGAAUCUGCUUUCAGGGGGUGUAAGGGGAUUUCCAUGGCAAAAUUUGAAGCCACAUGUGGUCACUGCUUUGUACUGAGGAAACAAAGUGCUCUGGGCAUCCAGAAAGGGGGUACGUUUUUUCUUACUGGGAUAAAUCUGGCUGCAUUUUAGCUAAUCCUGGAAAAUUGAUCGACAAAAGCAAAGGACCAAGAAAGCUGCUUAUAUCAGUGUCUCCUCCACCCUCAGCCUCCAGUAGCAUCCCUACGUUUUACAAUUUUAUUUAUGUCACUUUAAAUAAGGACAUUGAGAGGGAAAAGGCCUCAUCGACAUACCAACUACAGGCCAGGUGGACCUUCGGUGCACACACACCCCAGCGCCCACAGAGAUCCAGGCCUCCUGUGUAUGAAUGUGUGCCAUGAAUUUAGACCUAUUUCUCGCCUUCCGGGCUCUCUAUUCCUCAUCCUCCAUCCAAGUGGCCAUCUUGUGCAGAUGGACACAGCAGCAGCACAUAAGAGCACACGCGUGGGGCUCCAGCCCGGCCACGGGGAGACCUUUUCUCAGCAAAGGGCAGCACUGCUCGCUUUGCUGGGGCAGCCCUCCCAGGAAGAUCCCAGAAGAGAUGGUCUGAGGUGUGUGAACACUGUGAAUGUCAUGGACAAAGCUCAGCGUGGGACCCCAUGGGACUUCACCAGCCAGCUUGCUUCCCAGUAGCCUCUGCCAAUGGGAGACACUGGUGGGAGCUUGGAAGGAGGGUAGAAGGGAGAAAGAAGCUGAUUUUAUUUCUCCUUCUGUUGAAGUCUCUGGCAGUGGCAGCAGUAGCAGCAGUGGCAGCAGCUGCGGCAAUAGCAGUAGCAGCGGCAGUACUCGGCUUCCUGAAAGAUUUCCAAUAACGGCCGUGGAGCAGCAAGUAUCACAGCAGCUUCAGCCACCGAGCAAUCACCGACUCUUUGUGGAUCACACCAUAUUUCCUUUUGUUCAGCCAGCCUUAGGACGGUAGUAGUAGCUUCCUGCAGUUACUGGUCUCUGAAUGAUCUCAGCUCUCCCCUUUUAUUCUCCUCCAGCUCUUCAACACAUUUGCAGCCCAUUUCCUAGGUUAACUUUCUUCUACUUGAAAUUCCUAGGGUAGUUUCCGUUCUGCUGACUGGACACUGUCCAGUAUACACGUUUAUAAGGCCCUGAAAGCAGCAGAUCUCACCUGCAUUGGAGGAUGAGACGCCACAUGAAGAAGAAAGAAGACGCCACAGACAGCAGCGCAGUACCACCUUCCAGAGAUGUGAGUGUGACCGUCUUUGACCUUCUAGCCCAGCUGCUUUCCCUGAAUGCAAUGCAUGAGCAGGCCAGGCAAAACUAGAGAGGGAAGCUGCCCAGCUAACCCACAGAAUUAUGAGAGAUAAAAAAUCAUUGUCUUAAGCCACUAAGUCUGUUAUGCAGCAAUAUAUAGCAUUCAUUCAACUUUUGUCUCAUGAAUACUCUCAUUUCUUUUAUAAGUUCUUUUGUGGUUCAAAUUAGCUCAAAUCAGUUUCUGAUGCUUAUGACCAAAUGCCCCUAUGUGAUAGAUUUUGAGGGGUUAAGAAGCUUGCUCGGAUCACACAGCGGUAAGUAGCAGCACUUCAUCUUUAACCCACCUCUGGCCCACUCCCUUUCCAUAGGUCCUUGUUGCCUCCCUCCCUAAUCCCUUCCAGUCUAGUUUCCUCACUCAUUUUAGCAUCUUGAAGAUGCCUGACCUUUUGUAACAGGCACUUAGAAGAGGCAAUAAUCAAGCUGUGAGCUGGAAUACUGGGUUUCUCAUCCAAUAACCAGGUUGGCAGGUUGGUAACCAUACAAGGGACUUUUCAAACUGGAGAAUUAGUGUGCUGAGCACAAAGUGGUGAGUAUUUUGAGAGUUACUGAAAUAUAAUUGACAUAACAAUAAAAAUACAAUAUUUAAGUGCAUGUAUUUCAAGUGUACGAUUUGACAAGUUUGGUUAUAUUAUAUACACCUACGAAACCAUCACCACAAUUAAGAAAAUGAGCAUAGCUAUCACACACAAAAGUUUCCUUGUGCCCCUUGGUAAUUCCUCCCUCUCUCCUGCCCACAUCUCUCCUUUUCCCAGGCAAUCCCUGAUCUGAUUUCUGCCGCUAUCAAUUCGUUUGCAUUUCCUAGAAUUUUAAAUAACUGAAAACAUACAUUAAGAACUCUUUUUCUCUGGCCGAGUAUGGUGGCUCACGCCUGUAAUCCCAGCACUUUGGGUGGCCAAGGCGGGCAGAUCACCUGAGGUCAGGAGUUCGAGACCACCCUGGCCAACGUGGUGAAACCCUGUCUCUACUAAACAUACAAAAAUUAGCCAGGCAUGGUAAUGGGCAUCUGUAAUCCCAGCUACUCGCGAGGCUGAGGCAGGAGAAUUGCUUGAACCUGGGAGACAGAGGUUGCAGUGGGCUGAGAUCACGCCACUGCACUCCAGCAUGGACAACAGAGCGAGACUCCGUCCC